CACAAUGAUGAUUAAAUUUUAUUAAAUAACUUUCGUUCUACCGAUUGCGAUCAAACGAUCUUGUGGAGAAAUUUACUUCUGAGC
rnacentral:snoRNA from 1 species